UAGAGCACCUGACUGUUAAUCAGGCUGUCGACGGUUCGAGUCCGCCUGCCGGAG
rfam:Lactobacillus apodemi DSM 16634 = JCM 16172 strain DSM 16634 NODE_95, whole genome shotgun sequence.